rnacentral:pre_miRNA from 1 species
UUAACUCAUAUUUGUAUGGAAUGGGAUCGUUUGCCUACGCUUGCCGUUAGGGGCGCUAUUCCAGUUGCAUACAAAAUUAAAAGA